rnacentral:rRNA from 1 species
CGUAGGGUGCGAGCGUUAAUCGGAAUUACUGGGCGUAAAGCGUGCGCAGGCGGUUUUGUAAGACAGAUGUGAAAUCCCCGGGCUCAACCUGGGACCUGCAUUUGUGACUGCAAGGCUAGAGUACGGUAGAGGGGGAUGGAAUUCCGCGUGUAGCAGUGAAAUGCGUAGAUAUGCGGAGGAACACCGAUGGCGAAGGCAAUCCCCUGGACCUGUACUGACGCUCAUGCACGAAAGCGUGGGGAGCAAACAGGAUUAGAUACCCUGGUAGUCCACGCCCUAAACGGUGUCAACUGGUUGUUGGGUCUCUUCUGACUCAGUAACGAAGCUAACGCGUGAAGUUGACCGCCUGGGGAGUACGGCCGCAAGGUUG